rnacentral:tRNA from 1 species
GGCACAGUGGUCUAAUGGUAUGACUCCUGCUGUGUAGGUACCUGCUGGUUCAGACAGAGGGCGGGGGAUCUGGGUUCAAUUCCCAGCUGAGCCA